rnacentral:rRNA from 1 species
AACGAGACCUUAACCUGCUAAAUAGCCAGGCUAGCUUUGGCUGGUCGCCGGCUUCUUAGAGGGACUAUCGGCUCAAGCCGAUGGAAGUUUGAGGCAAUAACAGGUUAACCUAUCACAGGCCUGUCAUAGUGGGCCUCAUUAAAGAUAACUGCUAGUCUAGCAUCUUCACCUUCUUGGGGAAGUCCCCGACUGUCGGGAGAAGGAGGGCUGAAAGGCCCAUGAUGCAGGCAACACCACCUGGUACAGGGAA